GACAGAGGGGGCAAGCGUUGCUCGGAAUUACUGGGCGUAAAGCGCACGUAGGCGGCUUGCUAAGUCAGGGGUGAAAUCCUGGAGCUCAACUCCAGAACUGCCUUUGAUACUGGCGAUCUCGAGUCCGGGAGAGGUGAGUGGAACUGCGAGUGUAGAGGUGAAAUUCGUAGAUAUUCGCAAGAACACCGGUGGCGAAGGCGGCCCACUGGUCCGGUACUGACGCUGAGGUGCGAAAGCGUGGGGAGCAAACAGG
rnacentral:rRNA from 1 species